rnacentral:rRNA from 1 species
AAGUACUCGAGUGGCGGAAGGGCGAGUAAUGUAUGGAUAACGUACCCCAGGCACCGGGAUAGCAGCGGGAAACUGUUGGUAAUACCGGAUGAUGUUCCAAACCCCUUGGGGCUUGGAAUCAAAGGAUGGCCUCUACUUGUAAGCUAUCGGCGUGGGAGCGGUCCAUAUCCUAUCAGCUAGUUGGCGGGGUAACGGCCCACCAAGGCAACGACGGGUAGCGGGACUGAGAGGUUGACCCGCCGCAUUGGGACUGAGACACUGCCCAGACUCCUACGGGAGGCUGCAGUAACGAAUAUUGGACAAUGAGCGAAAGCUUGAUCCAGCGACGCCGCGUGCAGGAAGAAGUCCUUCGGGAUGUAAACUGCUGUCAGGGACCACCAAGCAAGGAAGGUUAAUACCCUUCUGCGUUGAGGACUCCCAGAGGAAGCCACGGCUAACUUCGUGCCAGCAGCCGCGGUAAUACGAAGGUGGCGAGCGUUGUUCGGAAUCACUGGGCUUAAAGCGUGUGUAGGCGGACUGUCAAGCGUUUUGUGAAAGCCCUCGGCUUAACCGGGGAAUUGGCUUGACGAAACUGAUAGUCUUGAGGCAGGUAGGGGCAACUGGAACUCUUGGUGGAGCGGUGGAAUGCGUAGAUUCAAGAGGAACGCCAGAGGCGAAGGCGAGUGCUGGGCCUGUCCUGACGCUGAACACGAAAGCCAGGGGGAGCGAACGGGAUUAGAUACCCCGGUAGUCCUGGCCCUAAACGAUGUCCACUAGAUCGGAGGCACUCUGACGUGUUUCUGGUCGAAAUGAAAACGGUAAGUGGACCGCCUGGGGAGUACGGUCGCAAGGCUAAAACUCAAAGGAAUUGACGGGGGCUCACACAAGCGGUGGAGCAUGUUGCUUAAUUCGAUGCAACGCGAAGAACCUUAUCGUAGGCUUGACAUAUACGUAUGCUUACUGGGAAACCAGGUCGGCUGCCCUUCGGGGUGAAACGUAUACAGGUGCUGCAUGGCUGUCGUCAGCUCGUGUCGUUGAGAUGUUGGGUUAAGUCCCGUAACGAGCGAAACCCUUGUCGUUAGUUGCCAGCGCGUAAUGGCGGGGACUCUAACGAGACUGCCGGU